CGAUUGAGAGGGCUGCAAUUGUGGUCCGUUGCAACUAUGUUGCGCUUGGUCG
rnacentral:ncRNA from 1 species